UCGCCUGUUUAUCAAAAACAUAGCUAUUAGAAAUUAUUAAUAGUACCUUCUGCUCAAUGAAUAUUAAAUAGCCGCAGUACCCUGACUGUGCAAAGGUAGCAUAAUCAGUUGGCUUAUAAUUGAAGUCUUGUAUGAAUGAAUAAAUGAGGAGAAACUGUCUCAUCGGUAUAUAAUGAAAUUACUGAGCAAGUGCAAAUUCUUGUAAUAAAAUAAUAGACGAGAAGACCCUAGAAAUUUAAAGUACGUGUUAAUUAGGUUUUUGUUGGGGCAACAAUGUAACAGGGAAUUUACAAUUAUAGACAAGAAAUCUUUUUGGAAGAUAAAAUUACUCUAGGGAUAACAGCGUAAUGCAGAAGCGAUUGCGACCUCGAUGUUGGACUAGGAAACAAACGC
rnacentral:rRNA from 1 species